rnacentral:lncRNA from 1 species
UGAUUCCUUAUUGAUCACUCACAAUAUCUAUGCACACUUCACCACAUCUAUAACACCCCACGCAAAGAUCAGAGAACUAAGUUAGAAAGUGAACUAAAAUAUAGAUUCAUGUACAUAAGGUACCAUGAUGAUCUCAGGUCAAAAGAUCAUUUAUACAACUCCCAUUAGAGAAUAAUCAACUGACAUGUAAAUAAGACUCCAUU